CCUGCCGUCUACUCUUGGACAGCCUUCUGAAAGGAAGAUUAAUACAAGAUGGCAUCAUGAGUCCGCAUGUUCACAUGAUUAAAGGUAUUCCGGUAGACGAUGGGGAUGCGUUCCAUUAGAUAGUAGGCGGGGUAACGGCCCACCUAGUCUUCGAUGGAUAGGGGUUCUGAGAGGAAGGUCCCCCACAUUGGAACUGAGACACGGUCCAAACUCCUACGGGAGGCAGCAGUGAGGAAUAUUGGUCAAUGGGCGAGAGCCUGAACCAGCCAAGUAGCGUGAAGGAUGACUGCCCUAUGGGUUGUAAACUUCUUUUAUAAAGGAAUAAAGUCGGGUAUGGAUACCCGUUUGCAUGUACUUUAUGAAUAAGGAUCGGCUAACUCCGUGCCAGCAGCCGCGGUAAUACGGAGGAUCCGAGCGUUAUCCGGAUUUAUUGGGUUUAGAGGGAGCGUAGAUGGAUGUUUAAGUCAGUUGUGAAAGUUUGCGGCUCAACCGUAAAAUUGCAGUUGAUACUGGAUAUCUUGAGUGCAGUUGAGGCAGGCGGAAUUCGUGGUGUAGCGGUGAAAUGCUUAGAUAUCACGAAGAACUCCGAUUGCGAAGGCAGCCUGCUAAGCUGCAACUGACAUUGAGGCUCGAAAGUGUGGGUAUCAAACAGGAUUAGAUACCCUGGUAGUCCACACGGUAAACGAUGAAUACUCGCUGUUUGCGAUAUACUGCAAGCGGCCAAG
rnacentral:rRNA from 1 species